rnacentral:lncRNA from 1 species
AGGUGCUAGGGGAUUGAUUGUGCAGCUGAUGUUCUUCGGAUGUAGAAAUUGCAAUUCAAAUUUUAAAGUCUCUAUUGCAGGUUAUUAUUAUUGAAGUUUACAAUUGUGGCUGCAUUGUGAUUCUUUAUUGCUGAGAAUCACUGUCUAAUAGAGCUGAUGUGGUCUCAUUCGCAGUUGCAUUAUAGUUGCAGAGACAUCAAAACCUUGAUGUCUUGACUCAAAUCGUGUCUGCGGACCUUUUUAAAACUUUGAUAGUCUUAUUACUGCGAACCUUUUUAAAACUUUGAUAGUCUUAUUACUGCGAACCUUUUUAAAACUGAUAGUCUGGUUUUUAUUGUUUUGACAUUUAAUGUUUACAUGUGGCUCAAAUCCUUUUCUUUUUAUGCCAAUUCUGGGCAGAUCCACCUGUGAAUUUUAUAACACUUUCUUCGUCAUUUUUACAGUGGUAUACUAUAGGUAGAAGCUGUUUAAGGCUAUAAUUUUGAUGAGUCCUAUUGCUAAGUAUUAUACAAAUAUAUUGGGUCAACUAAGAUGAGGAACUUCUAUUUUUAUCUUGAAAUUUCUGUGAUUUAGGCUAUUGUGCUGUUUGAGCUCUCUAGACGCCUAGGCCAACGACCAAUGUAGUAUUUGCUAUUGAUUUAUGCUUGCUCCAAUUGCUCUAGGGUAAUAAUGGCAGUGUAUCAGUUGUUCUUCAUUCAUUAUUUAGGAAGGAACUUAGAUUACCCUCAACAUGAUAAUCUAUAAUGCAGCCUUUUAUGUUCAUAGCAGUGAUAUAUAAUGGACUAUCAACUUAAUAGUGGAUAUAAACUUGGUUAGGAC